CAAACAAACAAAAACUCCAAAUCGGUUACAAAAAAGUCCCACCCAAUUCAGAGAUUAAAGUCAGAAAUCUGGCUGGUGAGAUCUGCGUAUUCGUAGUGACUGAGGGCUCUUUGAACCAUAGACCCAGUAAAGGCUGAGUCACUGGUUGCUAUGGGGACUGGAAGAGAAGAAAACACCAGGCCCACAUUUUUCAUAAAAAGGGCGAAUUUCAGCCUCAAACCAACAAGCAACAACUUUUGCCCACCUUAUGAUCAUCAGAGGGUAAAAACCAGGGGUGCACACUCCAGAAACCUGGACCAGGAGUCAACCUAAACAUCUGAGGUUCCCAAUAUUAUUUACAGCAUCUCAAUAUAAUGGAGCUUCUGAUUCAACAAUUAGUUUUGUUUAAAUAAAAUACAUUAUGAACA